UCAUCCGCAUAUUGCAGAAUUUUAAUAUUAUCAUAUAAGCUAGAAUCUAAAUCAUAUGUAUAAACAUUAUAUAAUAGUGGGCUGAGAACAGAGCCUUGCGGCAGGCCUUUCCAAACUGAUCGUGUAUCUAUCAUAUCAGAACCAGUUAGAGAGAUAUUACGGCCAUAUAAAGCAUUUAGGAUGAAAUUUGUAAAUUUCCAAGAAACCUGAAGGGCUAAAAGUUUCUGUUUUAAAACGUCUAUAAGUACAUUAUCAUAUGCGGCGGAAAUAUCCAAAAAAGUUGCAAGUACAGAUUCAUUAUUAGUGAAUGCUAGUCGGAUGUCAGAAAUAAAAAUACUGAUGCUAUCCAAUGUGCAUUUUCCUUUCCUAAAACCGUACUGACUAUCCGAUAUUAAGCCUUUACUUUCAAAAUGCCACUCUAAACGAUUUUUAAUAAGAUGUUCUAUUAGUUUUAAUAGGAUGGAUGAUAAGGCUAUAGGGCGAUAUGAAGAAGCGUCAGAUAGGGGUUUAUUCGGUUUACACACUGGCAACACUACUUGUGUUUUCCAUUCUGACGGGAGAGUUCCUGUGUUUACAAAUGAAUUGAUGAGCUGUAAAUAAUAACCUAAAAUGUUGUCACUGAGAUGAGUAAAGAAAGAAUAUGGUAUUCCGUCGGCCCCAGGGGCGGAAUCUUUAGUAUUAGACACAACUCCCUUUAAUUCAUAAAGGGAAAAGUCUGAAUCCAAUGCCAUGUUACUUACUGUGUGUGAGGAAGCCUCAUCGCUGACUAUGUUGUGUGGUACCCAAGGGGGAGCUAAUUUGGUUAAAAAGUCAUGAGCUAAUGUUUCUGGUAUUGAUGGACUAGAAAUAUCACUAAACACAGAUUUAAAUCUUCUAAUACUACGCCAAACUAUAGAUGAAGGAGUGUUGGGGGAUAUAGAAAGACAGAAGUUUUUCCAACUCUCAGAUUUCUUUUUUUUCAAUAAUUUAGAGUGCUUUAGGUUUAUUAUAUGGAAAGGAAAUUAAAAUAGGGAAAUGGUCACUUCCAUAUGAGGACGGCAGGGUGCGCCAGGUUAAGGAAGAGGCCAAACUUGGUGUACAAAUGGAGAGGUCAACUGCACUAACAUUUUGAUUUGGUGCUGUGAGGCGUGUGGGAGAGCCAGUAUUUAAAGUACAGAGGUUAUUACUGUCAAUUAUAUCAAGAAGUGCUUCACCAUAAUUGUUUGACACUGUACUACCCCAUGUCUGAUGGUGAGAGUUGAAAUCCCCUAAUAAUAAAAAUGGUCUUGGUAAGGAAGAGAUGAUCUGAUCAAUUUCAUUAAUAAUAGACAAAGAGGGAUGUGGAAUAUAUACAGAGGCUAUACAUAUAUUACAUACACUUACAGCUAAAAUAGAAAAAUCUUCACUAUGUACAGGCAAAUUUACAGGAGAGAAUGGGACGGAGUUCCUGAUGAAAAUAGCCACUCCACCAUAUCCAUCAGGUCUGUCUUCUCUAAGGCAAUGGGCUGGCAGAAACAACAUCCGCAAAGGAUUUGGAGGCAGGUGGAUGUAGCUUUGAGGCUUCCGCGUAUGAAACACAAUUAUGGGCCAUAUAAUGUUUUAUUUGCUUCUGGCGAGACAGCUCUGGACAAGCUUUGCUGGUGGCUAAAUGGGAACCGGAACAUAAGCAGCAAAAAGCGUUAUCUUCCUCCACCAUACAGGAGUCACCAGUGUGAUCAUGACCACACUUGUAACAGCGUGGUUUCGACCGACACUGUACCUUUGUGUGGCCAAAGCGGCAACAGUUGUAACACUGUAUGGUAGGGAAGAUAUAUAGUUCCACCGGAAGUGCAUUAUAGCAAAUAAAAAUACGCUUCGGCAAGACCUGGCCGUCGAAAGUGAUCACAGCAGAUUGUGACGGUUUCCAUACUGGUGUACCAUUAAUAAAG